UACGGAGGGUGCAAGCGUUAUACGGAAUCACUGGGUUUAAAGGGUGCGUAGGCGGCAUAGCAAGUUAGGGGUGAAAGGUCACGGCUCAACAGUGGACUUGCCUUUGAUACUGCUGUGCUUGAAUCAGGAUGAGGUCGGCAGAAUGUGGCAUGUAGCGGUGAAAUGCAUAGAUAUGCCAUAGAACACCAAAUGCGAAGGCAGCCGGCUAGCCCUUGAUUGUCGCUGAGGAACGAAAGCGUGUGGAGCGAACAGG
rnacentral:rRNA from 1 species